rnacentral:rRNA from 1 species
UACAGAGGGUGCGAGCGUUGUCCGGAAUCACUGGGCGUAAAGGGCGCGUAGGCGGCUUUUCAAGCGUGCGGUGAAAGCUCGGAGCUUAACUCCGAGUCUGCCGUGCGAACUGGGGAGGCUUGAGUCUGGUAGAGGUCGAUGGAAUUCCGGGUGUAGCGGUGGAAUGCGUAGAGAUCCGGAAGAACACCGGUGGCGAAGGCGGCUCACUGGUCCGGUACUGACGCUGAGGUGCGAAAGCGUGGGGAGCAAACAGG